UCACUCUGGUUUUCCUUCAAAUCGUACAAAUCUUUCGCCUUUUACUAAAGAUUUCCGUGGAGGAAAACAACUGAAUGAGUCUAUAUAAUGAUUUUUUGUAGCCCUGCCCUUCGGCGGGGC